rnacentral:rRNA from 1 species
AUUGAACGCUGGCGGCAUGCCUAACACAUGCAAGUCGAACGGCAGCACGGGAGCUUGCUCCUGGUGGCGAGUGGCGGACGGGUGAGUAAUGCAUAGGAAUCUGCCCAGUAGCGGGGGACAACUUGGGGAAACUCAAGCUAAUACCGCAUACGCCCUACGGGGGAAAGCGGGGGACCUUCGGGCCUCGCACUAUUGGAUGAGCCUAUGUCAGAUUAGCUUGUUGGUGGGUAAAGGCCUACCAAGGCGACGAUCUGUAGCUGGUCUGAGAGGACGAUCAGCCACACUGGGACUGAGACACGGCCCAGACUCCUACGGGAGGCAGCAGUGGGGAAUAUUGCACAAUGGGCGAAAGCCUGAUGCAGCAAUGCCGCGUGUGUGAAGAAGGCCUGCGGGUUGUAAAGCACUUUCAUAGGGAGGAAACGAGUAGCCGGUUAAUAAUCCGGUUGCCUU